rnacentral:rRNA from 1 species
AACGCGAAGAACCUUACCUGGGCUCGAACGGCUGCGGAAAGCCGGUGGAAACACUGGUUCUCCCGCAAGGGACCGUAGUCGAGGUGCUGCAUGGCUGUCGUCAGCUCGUGUCGUGAGAUGUUGGGUUAAGUCCCGCAACGAGCGCAACCCUUGUCCUGUGUUGGCAUGCCGAAAGGCGCAACUCUCAGGAGACCGCCAGCGAUAAGUUGGAGGAAGGUGGGGAUGACGUCAAGUCAUCAUGGCCUUUAUGUCCAGGGCUACACACGUGCUACAAUGGGCGGUACAAAGCGCUGCAAACCCGCGAGGGGGAGCUAAUCGCAAAAAACCGUUCUCAGUUCGGAUCGCAGGCUGCAACUCGCCUGCGUGAAGCUGGAAUCGCUAGUAAUGGCAUAUCAGAACGAUGCCGUGAAUACGUUCCCGGGCCUUGUACACACCGCUACAGU